rnacentral:rRNA from 1 species
GAUCGCGGCGACGCCGGCGGUUCGCCGCCGGUGUUGUUGUGAGAAGUUCAUUAAACCUUAUCAUUUAGAGGAAGGAGAAGUCGUAACAAGGUUUCCGUAGGUGAACCUGCGGAAGGAUCAUUGAACACACGAUCUCGGAAAAACUUUGCGAACCGUUGUUGUACCCCGGGGGAUCGUGUCCGGAGGCACGAUAGUCGAUGUGGGAGUCCGGAUUCAUGUGCACUCGCCGUGAUCCUUCCCGCUGGUGCGCGGUGGGAUUCGAAGUGACUCCCGUCUCAUCGUCGGAUUCCCCCCUCUGUCACGCACGAGUUCGGGUUUUCUCUCGGGAGACCCGGAUUCGGGGGAGUCCCCUCCUCCGUGGGAGGGAGAGUCCCGAACGGGAGUUCUCUCUGUUGCCUCAGGGGCACAGCGAGAGUCCCGGAUGGGAUCGCUCUCUCUCCUUCGGGGCCCUUUUUUUCUCUCAAGAGGAACCCAUUUGAACCGAACAAGGGAUGGAUUGAACCGAGGGGGAUUCGGAGCCGUCUCGGCGACUUCGAGUCUCACCGGGACAAGUGAGUUAAACACAAAUGACUCUCAGCAACGGAUAUCUUGGCUCUUGCAACGAUGAAGAACGCAGCGAAAUGCGAUACCUAGUGUGAAUUGCAGAAUUCCGCGAAUCAUUGAGUUUUUGAACGCAAGUUGCGCCCGAGGCUCGUCUGAGGGCAUGCCUGCCUGAGCGUCCUUUCCGACCCACCCACUAGCCUUCCUCUCUCUCGCAGGGGGGAAGGCGAAAGUGCGAGUGGAACUGGUCGUCCGGGAACCCGGCCGUCUUCGUGGCGGUCCGAGGAUUCGCGGUUGGCUGAAAAAUGCGAGCCGUCCGUCAAAGCGCGCGCCGGGGGGAACGGCGCGUUGCGAGAAGGUGGCGUCUCGCCUCGACCGUCUUCGGGCGACUCGGGGCGAACGUUGGUUGAAAAGCUUCGCUCCUCCCCCCGCGGAGACGGACUUUGGCGGAUCGGUGAGAAUCAUGGGAGCGGUAGAGCUCGGGAAAUCCUGUCUUCGGAGGGGGUCCCGGGUUCGAUCGCUGCGUUGCUCGGACCUCAGAUCAGGCAAGACCACCCGCUGAGUUUAAGCAUAUCACUAAGCGGAGGAAAAGAAACUAACAAGGAUUUCCUUAGUAACGGCGAGCGAACCGGAAGUAGC